AGCGAACGCUGGCGGCAGGCCUAACACAUGCAAGUCGAACGAACCCUUCGGGGUUAGUGGCGGAUGGGUGAGUAACACGUGGGAACGUGCCUUUAGGUUCGGAAUAACUCAGGGAAACUUGUGCUAAUACCGAAUGUGCCCUUCGGGGGAAAGAUUUAUCGCCUUUAGAGCGGCCCGCGUCUGAUUAGCUAGUUGGUGAGGUAAUGGCUCACCAAGGCUACGAUCAGUAGCUGGUCUGAGAGGAUGAACAGCCACAUUGGGACUGAGACACGGCCCAAACUCCUAUGGGAGGCAGCAGUGGGGAAUCUUGCGCAAUGGGCGAAAGCCUGACGCAGCCAUGCCGCGUGGAUGAUGAAGGUCUUAGGAUUGUAAAAUCCUUUCACCGGUGAAGAUAAUGACUGUAGCCGGAGAAGAAGCCCCGGCUAACUUCGUGCCAGCCGCCGCAGUAACAC
rnacentral:rRNA from 1 species